GAUGAACGCUGGCGGCGUGCCUAAUACAUGCAAGUCGAGCGAACAGAUGAGGAUCUUGCUCCUCUGACGUUAGCGGCGGACGGGUGAGUAACACGUGGAUAACCUACCUAUAAGACUGGGAUAACUUCGGGAAACCGGAGCUAAUACCGGAUAAUAUAUUGAACCGCAUGGUUCAAUAGUGAAAGACGGUUUUGCUGUCACUUAUAGAUGGAUCCGCGCCGCAUUAGCUAGUUGGUAAGGUAACGGCUUACCAAGGCAACGAUGCGUAGCCGACCUGAGAGGGUGAUCAGCCACACUGGAACUGAGACACGGUCCAGACUCCUACGGGAGGCAGCAGUAGGGAAUCUUCCGCAAUGGGCGAAAGCCUGACGGAGCAACGCCGCGUGAGUGAUGAAGGUCUUCGGAUCGUAAAACUCUGUUAUUAGGGAAGAACAAAUGUGUAAGUAACUAUGCACGUCUUGACGGUACCUAAUCAGAAAGCCACGGCUAACUACGUG
rnacentral:rRNA from 1 species